CACCCGCCUGUUUCUCCCGUUCCACUGAGAAUUGGUGCUCCGAAAGCAGAGUAUAAGGCACUAAGUCACAAGGCAACCCUCAUGAUCCCCAGGCAAAAGGGUAGCUCUGUUUUUAAACCCGGAGGAGGCAUCUUCCCCUGGGGGUUGCCGGGCUUCUGUUCUUGUGUGUGUUGGUCUCCAGGAAGCCAUGGAGAGCUUGGCAGCAGAGACAGAGUCUCGAUAUGUCGCCAAGCUUGGUCUCAAACUCCAAGGCUCAAGUGCUCAAGUGAUCCACCCACCUCGACCUCCCAAAGUGCUGGGAUUACAGGGAAAAUAGUAAUUGAGCAUCAGACAUCACCACUCCUGAAAAAAACCUUCUACAAGAAUUGAAAAGUGUUGCAGGA